GGAGAGGAGACCGGCUGAGGUGGAUCUGAGGGACCGUGAGGCUUGGUAGGGGGAGAGGAGGUCAGUGAGGUAUGAUGGGGCCAGAUGGUGGAGGGCUUUGUAGGUGAGGACCAGGAUUUUGUAGGUGAUCCGGUGGGAGAUGGGAAGCCAGUGGAGUUGUUUUAGGACUGGAGUGAUGUGGUGCCAGGAUUUGGUGCGGGUGAUGAGUCGGGCGGCUGCGCUUUGGACCAGUUGGAGUUGGUUGAUGUAGGUAGAGCUGAUGCCAAGGAGAAGUGAGUUGCAGUAAUUCUGCAGCGCAUGUUAGAAAAAAGGUCAAAGUCAUAGGUCAAAGUU